rnacentral:rRNA from 1 species
GAUGAACGCUGGCGGCGUGCCUAAUACAUGCAAGUCGAGCGAACAGAUAAGGAGCUUGCUCCUUUGACGUUAGCGGCGGACGGGUGAGUAACACGUGGGUAACCUACCUAUAAGACUGGAAUAACUCCGGGAAACCGGGGCUAAUGCCGGAUAACAUUUAGAACCGCAUGGUUCUAAAGUGAAAGAUGGUUUUGCUAUCACUUAUAGAUGGACCCGCGCCGUAUUAGCUAGUUGGUAAGGUAACGGCUUACCAAGGCAACGAUACGUCGCCGACCUGAGAGGGUGAUCGGCCACACUGGAACUGAGACACGGUCCAGACUCCUACGGGAGGCAGCAGUAGGGAAUCUUCCGCAAUGGGCGAAAGCCUGACGGAGCAACGCCGCGUGAGUGAUGAAGGUCUUCGGAUCGUAAAACUCUGUUAUUAGGGAAGAACAAAUGUGUAAGUAACUGUGCACGUCUUGACGGUACCUAAUCAGAAAGCCACGGCUAACUACGUG